CUUUGAUGUUCAGAAGUGUUGCCCUGCAGCAGAUGCAUCGACUCCUAUCACCAACCACUAUCGUGUAAACUUCCAAACUCUUCGGCGUUGCCUGCAGAACUUAUUUUUUAGUUUACAUCCAGAAGUGAAUCCAUCACUCUGUCCUUGAACAGGUUUGAAAAACUGUGAAACUUUUCCAAAAUAAUUUUUCACUUCUUACCAAACAGGUUUCAUCGGACCACCACAUCAACCAAGCAAGUAACAAUACUGUAAUAAUUAGUGACACAGUACAAUACUUUAGUGACAGAUAUGACAUCAUCUCAUCCACUCUGCAUUAUACAGAAUUAACAACUAAACUGUACAACAUCCAGAGCUGCAGGGUUUGGUUUCCAGCUCAAAGCUCAAAGGUGCAGUACCUGUACUUGACCAGUGUCGCAGCACUGGUGUGGAAUGAAGCUCCUGCAGAGGUAUGUCCAACGUCUGGCUCAGGUGGUGAUUGUGGCCGCUUCAUGCUCCGUCCACCUGGUCCCUGAUGGAGACUGACAGCUAAUGUCCCCAUAAUUGCUCAAAUGAACCCCGGCUGCCGUCGCCUUCAGCUCCGAGUCGCCCCGGGACGGGACAACACAACAGUGUCCACCAGUGACGGAUGCUGCGUCGCUGACGUUAAAAAGUCAGCAGUUCUUCAAAGUUCCUGGAUUGAAAUGGCAGCUUCGUCAGAGACACGGGGGGAAAUGCAUGGGUAAUAAGACCCAGGUGAGCAUGCAGCAAAUCACAUCAGAUCAGGCUCUUUGUUCCUGAUGGGAUUCAUGCUCCACUGACACUCAGGCAGUAACAAGAAGCUGACAACAGGAAAUACAGCUGCAGUGGGACGGAGCCCCCUCAGGUCACAUGAUGGCAAAACGCUUCGUCCUGGUGCAGAGGAUUCAGGUGCCUCCAGUGGUCCGACUGCAACAACAAGUGUUAGCAUUAUUGCAGCCUCCAGGUUGGAGUUGACUUCUCUCUUGAAGUGGCCUUAACCACAUGGACCAGUUCAUUACAGGAGUGACAGUGUGCUUUCUUCCUGUGGAGGAUUAAAGAAGGAGCUCUGAGCUUCAUGCUCCACCAGAGCCCACCUGCAGCACUGCUGUGUGUAGGUGGUGAGAGCGAGGCCGGGGGAGGAUGCCAGCACACGCUGCUGAGGGAAGGGCACAAACGCUGACUCUCCAGCACCACCUGUCUCACUUG